rnacentral:lncRNA from 1 species
AAAAAAGAAGAAAAAGAUUAAAAGAUAAAAAAAGAUAACAAACUCUAAAAUUUAAAAUUUGGAGUUGGAGAACUUUUUAAAAAAUUAAAAUACUUUUAAAAAUUAAACUUUACAUCCCAAUUAACUUAAUCACAAUUUAACAAAAACUUUUACUUUAUCUGAUAAAAAUUGUCACCAUUUUUAAUUUAAAACUCCCUCUUAAUUUUCUCAAUAAAUCUUCUCUGUGUUAAUUCAAUCCUCUUCCUCUACCAAAUUGGUGUUGAAGCUCGAUAAACCAACUUUGAGAGAAGUGAUGAUCGAGAAAGCGACAUUCUGUUUUCAGCUUUGGGUUCAACUUCAAAACCAAUUAGAUUGGCCAUUCUCAAACUCAACAAAAAAAUACCUGAAAGUAAAAGUCUACUUCACUUUGGAAAGUAGGACAACUACACUUUCGAAAGUUCAAGACGAUGAUAUUCUGCUGAUGAGAAAAUGUUUACAGUUACUGUUGGCCGGAAAAUUAUAGCGUUCACCAUUGAUUUUCUGAUUGUAUUCUUCAUCUUCUCUGCUGUACUUGUAAUUGUGUUCAAUGGAGUUGCGGACAUGGUCGACUUCUAGGAUACUUAUGGCCUUUAACACCAUAGCUAUGCANNNN